GACGAACGCUGGCGGCGUGCCUAAUACAUGCAAGUCGAGCGAAGUUUUUCUGGUGCUUGCACUAGAAAAACUUAGCGGCGAACGGGUGAGUAACACGUAAAGAACCUGCCUCAUAGACUGGGACAACUAUUGGAAACGAUAGCUAAUACCGGAUAACAGUAUUUCUCGCAUGAGAGAUAUUUAAAAGUUGGUUAUGCUAACACUAUGAGAUGGCUUUGCGGUGCAUUAGCUAGUUGGUGGGGUAAAGGCCCACCAAGGCGACGAUGCAUAGCCGACCUGAGAGGGUGAUCGGCCACACUGGGACUGAGACACGGCCCAGACUCCUACGGGAGGCAGCAGUAGGGAAUCUUCCGCAAUGGGCGAAAGCCUGACGGAGCAACGCCGCGUGAGUGAAGAAGGAUUUCGGUUCGUAAAGCUCUGUUGUUAGGGAAGAAAUGGAUAUGUAGUAAACUAUACAUGUACGAGGACCGGUACCUAACC
rnacentral:rRNA from 1 species